UACAGAGGGGCAAGCGUUAUUCGGAAUUAUUGGGCGUAAAGGGCGCGUAGGCGGCCUGGCAAGUGGAAGGUGAAAUCCCUCGGCUUAACCGAGGAACUGCCUCCCAAACUGCUUGGCUCGAGACCGGGAGAGGUGAGUGGAAUUCCCAGUGUAGCGGUGGAAAUGCGUAGAUAUUGGGAGGAACACCAGUGGCGAAGGCGGCUCACUGGACCGGUACUGACGCUGAUGCGCGAAAGCGUGGGAGCAAACGGG
rnacentral:rRNA from 1 species